rnacentral:rRNA from 1 species
GACGAACGCUGGCGGCGUGCCUAAUACAUGCAAGUAGAACGCAGUCGCGAACGGGUGAGUAACGCGUAGGUAACUGCCUGGUAGCGGGGGAUAACUACUGGAAACGAUAGCUAAUACCGCAUACUACCAGAUGGACCUGCGUUGUAUUAGCUAGGUGGUGGGGUAACGGCUCACCAAGGCAACGAUACAUAGCCGGGCUGGGGAGGUGGUCGGCCAAACUGGGACUUGGACACGGCCCAGGCUCCUACGGGAGGCAGCAGUAGGGAAACUUCGGAAAUGGGGGGCAACCUGACCGCGCAACGGCGGGGGAGUGAAGAAGGUUUUCGGGUCGUAAAGCUCUGUUGUUAAGGGAGCGGUACUUAACGAGGAAGGGACGGCUAACUACGUGCCAGCAGCCGCGGUAAUAC